rnacentral:rRNA from 1 species
UAAUACAGAGGGUGCGAGCGUUAAUCGGAAUUACUGGGCGUAAAGCGCACGUAGGCGGCUUGGUAUGUCGGGUGUGAAAUCCCCGGGCUCAACCUGGGAACUGCAUCCGAAACUGCCUUGCUCGAGUAUGGGAGAGGGAAGCGGAAUUUCCGGUGUAGCGGUGAAAUGCGUAGAUAUCGGAAGGAACAUCAGUGGCGAAGGCGGCUUCCUGGACCAAUACUGACGCUCAGGUGCGAAAGCGUGGGGAGCAAACAGG